rfam:Glossina palpalis gambiensis isolate 146720 unplaced genomic scaffold Scaffold710, whole genome shotgun sequence.
CGGCGAGUAGCGCAGCUUGGUAGCGCAACUGGUUUGGGACCAGUAGGUCGGAGGUUCGAGUCCUCUCUCGCCGA